CGGCGUAAGCUGUCGCUAUGGGGAUGGCCCCGCGGUGCAUUAGCUAGUUGGUAAGGGUAAAAGGGCUUACCAAGGCGAUGAUGCAUAGCCGAGUUGAGAGACUGAUCGGCCACAUUGGGACUGAGACACGGCCCAAACUCCUACGGGAGGCAGCAGUAGGGAAUCUUCCACAAUGGACGCAAGUCUGAUGGAGCAACGCCGCGUGAGUGAAGAAGGUUUUCGGAUCGUAAAGCUCUGUUGUUGGUGAAGAAGGAUAGAGGGUAGUAACUGGCCUUUAUUUGACGGUAAUCAACCAGGAAGUCACGGCUAACUACGUGCCAGCAGCCGCGUAAAU
rnacentral:rRNA from 1 species